UUAACACAUGCAAGUCGAACGAGAGGAGAAGGAAGCUUGCUUCUUUCAAAUCUAGUGGCAAACGGGUGAGUAACCCGUAAACAACCUGCCUUCAGGAUGGGGACAACAGACGGAAACGACUGCUAAUACCGAAUACGUUCCUUAGGUCGCAUGACUUUAGGAAGAAAGGGUGGCCUCUACUUGUAAGCUAUCGCCUGAAGAGGGGUUUGCGUCUGAUUAGGUAGUUGGUGAGGUAACGGCCCACCAAGCUGACGAUCAGUAGCCGGUCUGAGAGGAUGAACGGCCACACUGGAACUGAGACACGGUCCAGACUCCUACGGGAGGCAGCAGUGGGGAAUCUUCCGCAAUGGGCGAAAGCCUGACGGAGCAACGCCGCGUGAGUGAUGACGGCCUUCGGGUUGUAAAGCUCUGUGAUCGGGGACGAACGGUCGGCAGACGAAUACUCUGCUGAAGUGACGGUACCCGAAUAGCAAGCCACGGCUAACUACGUGCCAGCAGCCGCGGUAAUACGUAGGUGGCAAGCGUUGUCCGGAAUUAUUGGGCGUAAAGCGCGCGCAGGCGGCUUCUUAAGUCCAUCUUAAAAGUGCGGGGCUUAACCCCGUGAUGGGAUGGAAACUGAGAGGCUGGAGUAUCGGAGAGGAAAGUGGAAUUCCUAGUGUAGCGGUGAAAUGCGUAGAGAUUAGGAAGAACACCGGUGGCGAAGGCGACUUUCUGGACGACAACUGACGCUGAGGCGCGAAAGCGUGGGGAGCAAACAGGAUUAGAUACCCUGGUAGUCCACCCCGUAA
rnacentral:rRNA from 1 species